UACGUAGGUGGCAAGCGUUGUCCGGAUUUACUGGGCGUAAAGAGCGCGCAGGCGGUCGAGUAAGUCGAAUGUGAAAGCCCCCGGCUUAACUGGGGAGGGUCAUUCGAUACUGUUCGACUUGAAGGCAGGAGAGGGCAGCAGAAUUCCCGGUGUAGUGGUGAAAUGCGUAGAUAUCAGGAGGAACACCGGUGGCGAAGGCGGCUUCCUGGACCGACACUGACGCUGAGGCGCGAAAGCUAGGGGAGCAAACGGG
rnacentral:rRNA from 1 species